GGAUGUAAGGGCAACCUGGCCACAACAUCUGCCACCCCAUUAUUCACCAGGGUUGAUUUGGCUGAUCUGGCUAGCUAGGCAGGUGUCUUCUCACUCACCACUCCAUGUGUGUCCCUCCGGAAGCUGCGUGCUCGGUUGAAGAGGAGGACCACCCAGGAUAGAGGAGGACCGUUUCCUUGGUCAAGGGUAUAUGAGUAGCUUCGCUCCCCUACUGGAACCUCCAAACAAGCUCUCAAGAAUAAGUGAGAGUAUAUAAGCACAGUGAGAUAUUAUGAAGCCCAGAAUGAGGGCUGAGUGGAUACAAUCCAUGCCAUAGUCUC
ensembl:misc_RNA 7SK 7SK RNA